rnacentral:rRNA from 1 species
GAUGAACGCUGGCAGCGUGCCUAAUACAUGCAAGUCGAGCGAACAGACGAGGAGCUUGCUCCUUUGACGUUAGCGGCGGACGGGUGAGUAACACGUGGGUAACCUACCUAUAAGACUGGGAUAACUUCGGGAAACCGGAGCUAAUACCGGAUAAUAUUUCGAACCGCAUGGUUCGAUAGUGAAAGAUGGCUUUGCUAUCACUUAUAGAUGGACCUGCGCCGUAUUAGCUAGUUGGUAAGGUAACGGCUUACCAAGGCAACGAUACGUAGCCGACCUGAGAGGGUGAUCGGCCGCACUGGAACUGAGACACGGUCCAGACUCCUACGGGAGGCAGCAGUAGGGAAUCUUCCGCAAUGGGCGAAAGCCUGACGGAGCAACGCCGCGUGAGUGAUGAAGGUCUUCGGAUCGUAAAACUCUGUUAUUAGGGAAGAACAAACGUGUAAGUAACUGUGCACGUCUUGACGGUACCUAAUCAGAAAGCCACGGCUAACUACGUG